rnacentral:rRNA from 1 species
GACGGAGGGUGCAAGCGUUGUUCGGAAUUACUGGGCGUAAAGCGCGCGUAGGCGGCUUUUCAAGUCGGUUGUGAAAUCCCCGGGCUUAACCUGGGAACUGCAGUCGAGACUGUCUAGCUAGAGUAUGGGAGAGGGAAGUGGAAUUUCAGGUGUAGCGGUGAAAUGCGUAGAUAUCGGAAGGAACAUCAGUGGCGAAAGCGACUUCCUGGACCAAUACUGACGCUCAUGUGCGAAAGCGUGGGGAGCAAACAGG